GUGGGGAAUAUUGCGCAAUGGGCGAAAGCCUGACGCAGCAACGCCGCGUGAGGGAUGACGGCCUUCGGGUUGUAAACCUCUUUCAGCAGGGAAGAAGCGAAAGUGACGGUACCUGCAGAAGAAGCACCGGCUAACUACGUGCCAGCAGCCGCGGUAAUACGUAGGGUGCAAGCGUUGUCCGGAUUUAUUGGGCGUAAAGAGCUCGUAGGCGGUUAGUCACGUCGGAUGUGAAAACCCGGAGCUUAACUCCGGGCCUGCAUUCGAUACGGGCUGACUAGAGUGUUGUAGGGGAGACUGGAACUCCUGGUGUAGCGGUGAAAUGCGCAGAUAUCAGGAAGAACACCGGUGGCGAAGGCGGGUCUCUGGGCAACUACUGACGCUGAGGAGCGAAAGCGUGGGGAGCAAACAGGAUUAGAUACCCCUGUAGUCC
rnacentral:rRNA from 1 species